rnacentral:lncRNA from 1 species
UAUGUAUAUUCUGUUGGCGUUGGUGUUCUCUGUAUAUACACACAUUUAUGUUUCACUAGAAAUUCUGACAUCUGCCUACUUUGUUCAGACUAGCAAGGACCCCAAAAUGUACCCAAUGUUUCCUCAUACUCAUUAAAAAUACUCUAGAGCUGCCAAAAGAGACAAUGGUUGCAGUCAAGUAAAAGGACAGUUUCUGCUUUAAGAAGGAGAGAAGAUGUGAAAAAUUGGAUAUGGACUUUGGAGAGGGACUGAGGGGCACAACUACCCAUUGGUUAAAUUUUGAAACAGGCUGUACAUUUGGUCUAAACCGAGGAAGCACAGUGAUAGAAUCUGAUUCUUCUCAAUUGGCACCACCCCAUUUUGACUAUGGUAACUACUGGAUUCACCAUUUUUGAGUUAACCCAGCU